UACGAGGGGGGCAAGCGUUGUUCGGAAUUAUUGGGCGUAAAGGGUGCGUAGGCGGCGCGGUAUGUCUCUUGUGAAAUCUCCAGGCUCAACUUGGAGUCUGCAAGGGAAACUGCCGUGCUUGAGUACUGGAGAGGUGAGUGGAAUUCCCGGUGUAGCGGUGAAAUGCGUAGAUAUCUGGAGGAAUACCGGUGGCGAAGGCGGCAUCCUGGACCGACAUUGACGCUGAACGGCGAAAGCUAGGGGAGCAAACGGG
rnacentral:rRNA from 1 species